CUGAGGCUGUGGCACAAAGUAUUUCAGCAUCAGCGAUGCCACGUUGCAGCUUGUGGAACCAAAGCACCGACAGACAACAUAUAUAAAGGCUGAGCUUCCUUUUCCAGCACAUCCAGCUACCUGCUGCUUCAAGUGUAACGACGACUGAUCAUCACAGAAAGAUGGCAUCAGCUCUUAAGUUCAUUGUGCUCCUCGUCUUGGUCUGUGGACUUUGGAGUGAAACAAACGCACUAAAGAAAAAGAAAUUAUUAACCAAAUCAUACCUGCCAUGUCGACCACUGUGUAAGUA